GUUAUGCAUAUUCAGUUGUCGGGUAACACUUUAUUUAAAGGGGUCUACACAAGGGUGACAUGUAACCGUCAUAAGAAUGUCAUGACACAUGUCAUGCAC